CCUCUAUCAGGGGAGCCCUGAGGACCCACGCUUUUGUCUAAGGGGAACCCCAAAGACUCGACCUCUUCUGUGAAGAAAGGAUCCACCAUUUUCAGUGAGGGGAACCCUGGAGACCAGCCCUCUUCUAAAUGAAUAGCUGCAAACAGAGCUCAAGUUGUCAUCCCUGUGGGAGUGGGAUUAUGUCUCCUGGAACUCUAUGGAGAAAACCUCUCAAACUCACUGGAGCAAACAGCACCUGUAGACUCAGCGCGGGAGCGCCUCUUCCCUCUACAGCUCCACAGACAUCACUGCACUCCCAGCAGCACAGGCAGGAGCCUGCACCAGGAAAAGCUCAGGGAUGUGCUGGCCCACUCCUCUCCUCUGACCCUUGAGGACCCAGGUCUAGGGGGGAUUAAGAAAUAUGCCAUAGGAAAAAUAAAUGCAAGAGCUGAAUGGAA
ensembl:lncRNA novel transcript